UUAAGCGACUAAGCGUACACGGUGGAUGCCCUGGCAGUCAGAGGCGAUGAAGGACGUGCUAAUCUGCGAAAAGCGUCGGUAAGGUGAUAUGAACCGUUACAGCCGGCGAUGUCCGAAUGGGGAAACCCAGUGUGAUUCGUCACACUAUCGUUAACUGAAUACAUAGGUUAACGAGGCGAACCGGGGGAACUGAAACAUCUAAGUACCCCGAGGAAAAGAAAUCAACCGAGAUUCCCCCAGUAGCGGCGAGCGAACGGGGAGCAGCCCAGAGUCUGAAUCAGCUUGUGUGUUAGUGGAACGGUCUGGAAAGUCCGACGGUACAGGGUGAUAGUCCCGUACACCAAAAUGCACAGGCUGUGAACUCGAAGAGUAGGGCGGGACACGUGGUAUCCUGUCUGAAUAUGGGGGGACCAUCCUCCAAGGCUAAAUACUCCUGACUGACCGAUAGUGAACCAGUACCGUGAGGGAAAGGCGAAAAGAACCCCGGCGAGGGGAGUGAAAAAGAACCUGAAACCGUGUACGUACAAGCAGUGGGAGCACCUUCGGGUGUGACUGCGUACCUUUUGUAUAAUGGGUCAGCGACUUAUAUUCUGUAGCAAGGUUAACCGUAUAGGGGAGCCGCAGGGAAACCGAGUCUUAACUGGGCGUUAAGUUGCAGGGUAUAGACCCGAAACCCGGUGAUCUAGCCAUGGGCAGGUUGAAGGUUGGGUAACACUAACUGGAGGACCGAACCGACUAAUGUUGAAAAAUUAGCGGAUGACUUGUGGCUGGGGGUGAAAGGCCAAUCAAACCGGGAGAUAGCUGGUUCUCCCCGAAAGCUAUUUAGGUAGCGCCUCGUGAACUCAUCUUCGGGGGUAGAGCACUGUUUCGGCUAGGGGGUCAUCCCGACUUACCAACCCGAUGCAAACUACGAAUACCGAAGAAUGUUAUCACGGGAGACACACGGCGGGUGCUAACGUCCGUCGUGAAGAGGGAAACAACCCAGACCGCCAGCUAAGGUCCCAAAGUCAUGGUUAAGUGGGAAACGAUGUGGGAAGGCACAGACAGCCAGGAUGUUGGCUUAGAAGCAGCCAUCAUUUAAAGAAAGCGUAAUAGCUCACUGGUCGAGUCGGCCUGCGCGGAAGAUGUAACGGGGCUAAACCAUGCACCGAAGCUGCGGCAGCGACACUAUGUGUUGUUGGGUAGGGGAGCGUUCUGUAAGCCUGCGAAGGUGGCCUGUGAGGGUUGCUGGAGGUAUCAGAAGUGCGAAUGCUGACAUAAGUAACGAUAAAGCGGGUGAAAAGCCCGCUCGCCGGAAGACCAAGGGUUCCUGUCCAACGUUAAUCGGGGCAGGGUGAGUCGACCCCUAAGGCGAGGCCGAAAGGCGUAGUCGAUGGGAAACAGGUUAAUAUUCCUGUACUUGGUGUUACUGCGAAGGGGGGACGGAGAAGGCUAUGUUAGCCGGGCGACGGUUGUCCCGGUUUAAGCAUGUAGGCUGGUUAUCCAGGCAAAUCCGGAUAAUCAAGGCUGAGGUGUGAUGACGAGGCACUACGGUGCUGAAGUAACAAAUGCCCUGCUUCCAGGAAAAGCCUCUAAGCAUCAGGUAACACGAAAUCGUACCCCAAACCGACACAGGUGGUCAGGUAGAGAAUACCAAGGCGCUUGAGAGAACUCGGGUGAAGGAACUAGGCAAAAUGGUGCCGUAACUUCGGGAGAAGGCACGCUGGUGUGUAGGUGAAGCCCCUGCGGGUGGAGCUGAGACCAGUCGAAGAUACCAGCUGGCUGCAACUGUUUAUUAAAAACACAGCACUGUGCAAACACGAAAGUGGACGUAUACGGUGUGACGCCUGCCCGGUGCCGGAAGGUUAAUUGAUGGGGUUAUCCGUAAGGAGAAGCUCUUGAUCGAAGCCCCGGUAAACGGCGGCCGUAACUAUAACGGUCCUAAGGUAGCGAAAUUCCUUGUCGGGUAAGUUCCGACCUGCACGAAUGGCGUAAUGAUGGCCAGGCUGUCUCCACCCGAGACUCAGUGAAAUUGAACUCGCUGUGAAGAUGCAGUGUACCCGCGGCAAGACGGAAAGACCCCGUGAACCUUUACUAUAGCUUGACACUGAACAUUGAGCCUUGAUGUGUAGGAUAGGUGGGAGGCUUUGAAGCGUGGACGCCAGUCUGCGUGGAGCCAACCUUGAAAUACCACCCUUUAAUGUUUGAUGUUCUAACGUUGGCCCCUUAUCGGGGUUGCGGACAGUGUCUGGUGGGUAGUUUGACUGGGGCGGUCUCCUCCCAAAGCGUAACGGAGGAGCACGAAGGUUAGCUAAUCCUGGUCGGACAUCAGGAGGUUAGUGCAAUGGCAUAAGCUAGCUUGACUGCGAGCGUGACGGCGCGAGCAGGUGCGAAAGCAGGUCAUAGUGAUCCGGUGGUUCUGAAUGGAAGGGCCAUCGCUCAACGGAUAAAAGGUACUCCGGGGAUAACAGGCUGAUACCGCCCAAGAGUUCAUAUCGACGGCGGUGUUUGGCACCUCGAUGUCGGCUCAUCACAUCCUGGGGCUGAAGUAGGUCCCAAGGGUAUGGCUGUUCGCCAUUUAAAGUGGUACGCGAGCUGGGUUUAGAACGUCGUGAGACAGUUCGGUCCCUAUCUGCCGUGGGCGCUGGAGAAUUGAGGGGGGCUGCUCCUAGUACGAGAGGACCGGAGUGGACGCAUCACUGGUGUUCGGGUUGUCAUGCCAAUGGCACUGCCCGGUAGCUAAAUGCGGAAGAGAUAAGUGCUGAAAGCAUCUAAGCACGAAACUUGCCCCGAGAUGAGUUCUCCCUGAGACUUUAAGUCUCCUGAAGGAACGUUAAAGACGAUGACGUUGAUAGGCCGGGUGUGUAAGCGCAGCGAUGCGUUGAGCUAACCGGUACUAAUGAACCGUGAGGCUUAACCUU
rnacentral:rRNA from 2 species